GUGAGUAUGUGUGAGUGUGGCUUGCUUGCCCAGAGGAAACGACCGACACACAACGCAAUACAGCAGUACACAGACACAACACAAUCACAACGUAACUUAUUAUACAGAAGCCAGCCGACACACACCACAGCUAUAUAGUAAAGCCACGGUUUAGCCAGACGAUAAGACACAAGCACAGCUGACUCAGCUGGGGUACGAACCUAUGUUCUCUUCAGCCGAGAAUUUUAACACGAAAAAUUAAUCGAUUAAAAAAUAAUAUCAAAUAAUUAACGAACACGAUAAAACCCUCAUAUAUAUGUAUACUUACAAAACACGAAAACACACGACAAUUUCAAGAAUACAUCAUUGGAUUAUUAUUUAAGUCAUACUAGAAUUAUAAUUAAUAUAAUUCGUAUUUGUUUAUAUCGUAAUCUCCAUAACAGUUUGUGAUCAUCAUCAUUAUCAUCAUCGUAAUCAUCAUCAUCUUUAUGAUAAACUUACCAGUCCACAUGGAGCGUAAUUCGGGCAGUUUUUGCGCAUCUCUGUUGUUGGUUAUAGUAUCGGUACACAUGCCGCUCCCUAUACAGUCAAAAUUACCUUUAAAACCGCAACCAGACACAGGUCAGACGGCUUCGCCUAUAGCAGGUUGCAUUUUGGGAGGGAAAUCAUACAAAUUAGAAGAAAAAUGGAGUUUGGAAAUGGAGGAAGCGGACAUGAAGUACUGCGUCAAAUGUACAUGUUUUCCGGUGACCAAAGUACGAAUGGGACGCACAUAUUUAAGCGGGAAAGUCUCAUGUCGAAAUAUACGGAAAUGUCCACGCCAGACAUGCGAAAGUCCUGGAGGUUUAUGCUGCAGUACCUGUCGAAUAUUAGUAAUUUCAAAUGAACCAUUUUGGAAACACGACAAAGCAGAAUUCACAGCCCUUCUGGUUGGGUCCACCAUCAGUAAACCAGUCCACACCAAUAAUGUGGCAAUAGCAGAUAUUAGUGUCUAUGACUCCACACUCUAUUAUUCUAUUCGACAUACAAGACUAAAACAGCUGGAGAAGUUGCUAUUCGUUCUGGAUCAAGGAAAUAUUAUACAUCAAAUACAUAUUACAGCACCGUUACAAUCUAAGGUGUGUUGGGGCAAAUGUACCUCUUUACCACAGGUAUGCGGUGUGUGGAGGAAAGUACCUGUCCUGUAUCAGCAGUACCUGUGGGACAAACGUGUGUCGAUCGUCUUGACGACAGCGCUUCAUCCAGACGGCGAAGUCAAAGGCCGAGUUAUAACAACCAAUGAUAAACAUAAAGAAACUUUCACGACAGUGUUAUGGUCCCAAUCAAUGAAAGGCGAAGGGGGCCGGGCCAAUUUCUUCAUUGAUCCUAUUGGAUAUACAAUAUAUUACAACAUCACAUUAGCGCGACCUUUUACAGGCAUCAACAAACUGGCACUUAACCAAGAGCGGAUUACAGUCAGUGUGCUUUACAACAGAAAAACUAUACUUAUGGACUGGGUUUAUGAAGCGGAUGGAAUAAUUAAUGGAUUAUGGAUGAAACUAAAGAAACGAACUCUCAGACAACUAACUCGAGGAAAACUAGUCAUUAAAGUUAAUACUCAAACCACUAAACCGUUUAGUGGAAGAAUUCUACCAAGAAUAACAUGUGGAGCUUUUCAGGCAGUGCUCUCUAGCAGCGAAGUCACACCAGGGAAGAGGUUUGUUCCUGGAAUCGGUACUGCAAUAUUUCAUCUUCGACAAAAUGGUAAAUUAGAUUACAAGAUUGGCGUAAACGGUAUGACCAGACAUGUGCAACAUAUUAGUCUGGAACGAGGUACGGGCUCUAGUGGAAGCGGAAGUGGUACAAGAACCCGGCAUCGGAAAAGGAAGAGAUCAGAUCGAAACCUAAUGAAACACUUCCAGUUGACCCACUAUGAUGGGUUUGAUGGGUGGGCCAAUGGAACGUACAGAAAGCCGAAGUUAAAAGACAUUCAUCUCUUGCUGGAUGAGAAGUUGUUCAUAAAAGUAUCUACAAGCAGACGGCGGAAUUCAGCCCUUCGCGGUCAUAUCAUUGAAACUCCAUACCACGAACGUAGCCAUCUUUUUACGGGAUUUCCGUUCGUUAUUCGAGCGCGUGAUAAUGGUAUUUUCAAAUCUAGUGGUGCAGCUUACGCAUGGUUAGCUCUUGACUCCGGAUGCCAGUUUCACUACCAAAUAUUGCUUGAUGAUAUGGCUAUAUCACAAGACCACAAGGCCAGUGCUUACCUUGCUAAAUAUGGCAGCCAUGUUAACUCCCCACUCAAUCCAGGAUUCACAAGAAUGAUUGGGAAAUUCCAUAGCAGUAUUAUUUCCGGCAGUAUUACAACUUUAUCAGAAGAUCUUCUAAAAGCUUUAGACGUUGGCAAUGCAACAUUGAGAAUUUUAACUGGUAAACAUCCGAUGGGGAUAUUAGAAGCAAGUGUUUCAACGCCAAAUAAUUGCUGGAAGCUAACCCCAGAUGUAAGUGGAAUCGAUACAUUUUUAGUCGGAGUCACUGAUCAUGAUUUCCAGAAGCGGACUCAAUGUCAAUUUGAAAACAGAUAUUAUGAAGAUGGAGAGACUUGGGCACCAAAAGAUGUUAACUCUUGCAAGACAUGUGGUUGCGAGCGUGGUCAAGUGCGUUGCCAGUGGGUACUUUGUCCGCAGUUGUCCUGUAAUAACCCCGUCCACAUUGAAGGGCAGUGCUGUCCCGUAUGUCCUGCAUUGGAACAACGUGUUCGGAUGUCUAUCAAACAGAAUAUAACAUGUUUCUUCGAAGCAGACCAACGCUGGCAUCCUGCUUGGACUGUGUGGUACCCGUUUUUACACCCGUUUGGCUAUUCCACCUGUGCUCUUUGUUCUUGCUUGAUCGGCAAGAAUGCCUGGAAUUGCACUCCAAGAACUUGUCCUCCUUUAAGUUGUACUGCUACUGUCAACAAGUUUAAUAUGUCCCAUUGUUGUCCGGAAUGUUUGAAUACGAACAAGCCAACUGACGCUUCAGACACCGCUUUAGUACUGAAUGAUAAAAAUAUGGAUGGAGGAAGGAAAACCCAAAUGCCGCUGGAAUAAAUGUCCGAAACUUCGAUGCAGAGCAAAAGUACGAAACAAGAAUUCUUGCUGUUAUAGAUGCCAACGAAAAAGAAAGAAAUCGGACAAUAAAACUGGACGGCGGAAACACUGAAAUUCCAAAGUUGAUGGAAAUACAAAAGCCAAAAACCAAAAAAAAAAUAAUAAUAAUAAAACAAAAAAAAAAACAUCAACAAAACAAAACAAAAGAAACAAUACUUUUGAUGAAGUUCAACAGCGAAAUACUAAAAAAGUGUUCAAAUGAAUUUCUUAAAAACAAUACCAAAUAUAGUAAAUAAUUAAUAUUAAAAGAUAAAAAAAAAAGUGGGACAAAAAUACCAUGGUAACAAUAAUUGCAAGAACAUUUACUGACGGAAAGAAAGGGAAUGGGGGGAUGGAAAGAAAAAAAAAGAAAAACAAUUCGUUACAGAGAAUUUAAUGAAAAAGACUGAAUGAAACGAUUGAUUCACAAAAAUCAAAACUGAACUCAGCAAAGCGAUAUACAUACGUACAUACAUACAUACAUACAUACAUACAUACAUACACACAUGCACACAUACAUGCAUACA
rnacentral:misc_RNA from 1 species